UGGGGAAUAUUGGACAAUGGGCGCAAGCCUGAUCCAGCCAUGCCGCGUGCAGGAAGAAGCAUCUAUGGUGUGUAAACUGCUUUUGUACGGGAAGAAACACUCCUUCGUGAAGGAGCUUGACGGUACCGUAAGAAUAAGGAUCGGCUAACUCCGUGCCAGCAGCCGCGGUAAU
rnacentral:rRNA from 1 species